rnacentral:tRNA from 1 species
GGGGUUGUAGCUCAGUGGUAGAGCUCUUGCCUUGCAUGAGGCCCUGGGUACUAUCCCCAGCACCACA